GAAUUGCGAUAAGUAAUGUGAAUUGCAGAAUUCAGUGAAUCAUCGAAUCUUUGAACGCACCUUGCGCUCCUUGGUAUUCCUUGGAGCAUGCCUGUUUGAGUAUCAUGAAAUCUUCAAAGUAAAUCUUUUGUUAACUCAAUUGGUUUCUACUUUGGUAUUGGAGGUCUUUGCAGCUUCACACCUGCUCCUCUUUGUUCAUUAGCUGGAUCUCAGUGUUAUGCUUGGUUCCACUCGGCGUGAUAAGUUAUCUAUCGCUGAGGACACUGUAAAAGGUGGCCAAGGUAAAUGCAGAUGAACCGCUUCUAAUAGUCCAUUGACUUGGACAAUACUUUUAUGAUCUGAUCUCAAAUCAGGUAGGACUACCCGCUGAACUUAAGC
rnacentral:misc_RNA from 1 species